AGCACCUCUUUGUUCACCAUUCAGAAGAAUGAAGAACAUGGAGAACUUACCUUUUUUUCUUCCUCCAAUAGCAGACCAAAGCUGGAGAAAGCAAGGGAGAUGUUCACGCAAAGGAGAACUGGCUGCAUUUUACAAAUACCCAAAUUGCGCUAUCGGAGCAUUAAAUAUUUAUCAGAAGGCUGGGGAGCUGCAGACUGUUUGCGACACAUGGCAAUUUGCUGAAAAUUACUAUUUGCAAAAUAGAGAGGACCUGUUAUAUUAGCAGAACUGACAAGAAAAUAAACAACUGCUUUUGUUGCCGUUGGUCUAAAAAAAAAAAAAAAGCCUGUGGAACUAGGGAAGACAGAUGCAGCGUUGGCUAUUAUUUACCAAAUCCAACUUAUUUAAAUGCACUGUCUUUGAUACUUAAUAAAUGUUGUAGUGUAGCUUUUCGUGGCUAAUAAAACUUGGUUUACA